GCCUAACUGUUUACAGAGACCAGGGUGGCUGACGGUGUGUCUCCGCCUUCCCCACGGCCCCUCUGUCUCCACAGAGAAUGAAGUAGAAGUGAGCGAGGCUGAAUAUUCAUGGCCGGCCUCGCUACCAUUCAUGCAAAUGCAGUGUUGUGAAUUUGAAACCCGGACACGAUCCUAAAAGGAAAUCUAACAUCUCAGCAGGAUUUUCAAUUGGAGUGACAUCUGGACUAUUUGCAGGCCAUGACAUUGACCUUAUGUAUCUUACUUAAAGAAAAGUGUCCACUCUUUUUGCUCCAUGGCAAGAUGCAUUAUCAUCUCGGAAAAUGAUGUCAUCAUCCCCAAACAUCCUUUUAAUUGAUGUUAUAAGAAAAAUGUUCAAAAUGUGAACUUGUGUAUUUAUUGAAGAUGUAAUGACAGCCGUCUCCACAGUGCCAUUACCUGAC